AGAGUUUGAUCAUGGCUCAGGAUGAACGCUGGCGGCGUGCUUAACACAUGCAAGUCGAACGAACCUUCGGGUUAGUGGCGGACGGGUGAGUAACGCGUGAGAAUCUGCCCUCAGGAGGGGGAUAACGGCUGGAAACGGCCGCUAAUACCCCAUAUGCCGAGAGGUGAAAUGAAUUUCGCCUGAGGAUGAGCUCGCGUCUGAUUAGCUAGUUGGUGUGGUAAAGGCUCACCAAGGCAUCGAUCAGUAGCUGGUCUGAGAGGAUGAUCAGCCACACUGGGACUGAGACACGGCCCAGACUCCUACGGGAGGCAGCAGUGGGGAAUUUUCCGCAAUGGGCGCAAGCCUGACGGAGCAACGCCGCGUGAGGGAUGAAGGCCUCUGGGCUGUAAACCUCUUUUAUCAAGGAAGACAUCUGACGGUACUUGAUGAAUAAGCCACGGCUAAUUCCGUGCCAGCAGCCGCGGUAAUACGGGAGUGGCAAGCGUUAUCCGGAAUUAUUGGGCGUAAAGCGUCCGCAGGCGGUCUUGAAAGUCUGUUGUUAAAGCGUGGAGCUCAACUCCAUUUCAGCAAUGGAAACUAGAAGACUAGAGUGUGGUAGGGGCAGAGGGAAUUCCCGGUGUAGCGGUGAAAUGCGUAGAUAUCGGGAAGAACACCAGUGGCGAAGGCGCUCUGCUGGGCCAUAACUGACGCUCAUGGACGAAAGCCAGGGGAGCGAAAGGGAUUAGAUACCCCUGUAGUCCUGGCCGUAAACGAUGAACACUAGGUGUCGGGGGAAUCGACCCCCUCGGUGUCGUAGCCAACGCGUUAAGUGUUCCGCCUGGGGAGUACGCACGCAAGUGUGAAACUCAAAGGAAUUGACGGGGGCCCGCACAAGCGGUGGAGUAUGUGGUUUAAUUCGAUGCAACGCGAAGAACCUUACCAGGGUUUGACAUCCUGCGAAUCCCUUGGAAACUUGGGAGUGCCUUCGGGAGCGCAGUGACAGGUGGUGCAUGGCUGUCGUCAGCUCGUGUCGUGAGAUGUUGGGUUAAGUCCCGCAACGAGCGCAACCCACGUCUUUAGUUGCCAGCAUUAAGUUGGGCACUCUAGAGAGACUGCCGGUGAUAAACCGGAGGAAGGUGUGGAUGACGUCAAGUCAUCAUGCCCCUUACAUCCUGGGCUACACACGUACUACAAUGCUACGGACAAAGGGCAGCAAACUCGCGAGAGCUAGCCAAUCCCAUAAACCGUGGCUCAGUUCAGAUCGUAGGCUGCAACUCGCCUACGUGAAGGAGGAAUCGCUAGUAAUCGCAGGUCAGCAUACUGCGGUGAAUACGUUCCCGGGCCUUGUACACACCGCCCGUCACACCAUGGAAGUUGGCCACGCCCGAAGUCGUCACUCCAACCCGCAAGGGAGGAGGAUGCCGAAGGUGGGGCUGAUGACUGGGGUGAAGUCGUAACAAGGUA
rnacentral:rRNA from 1 species